GCUGGGCAUGGUGGCGCAUGCCUGUAGUCCCAGCUACUCAGGAGGCUGAGGCAGAAGAAUUGCUUGAACCCAGGAAGUGGAGGUUGCAGUGAGCCGAGAUUGCACUACUGCACUCCAGCCUGGGUGACAGAGCAAGACUCUAUCUCAA
rnacentral:SRP_RNA from 2 species